rnacentral:rRNA from 1 species
AUUGAACGCUGGCGGCAGGCCUAACACAUGCAAGUCGAACGAGCGGCGGACGGGUGAGUAAUGUCUGGGAAUCUGCCUGAUGGAGGGGGAUAACUACUGGAAACGGUAGCUAAUACCGCAUACCAUCGGAUGUUCCCAGAUGGGAUUAGCUAGUAGGUGGGGUAAAGGCUCACCUAGGCGACGAUCCCUAGCUGGUCUGAGAGGAUGACCAGCCACACUGGCACUUAGACACGGACCAGACUCCUACGGGAGGGAGCAGUGGGGAAGAUUGCACAAUGGGCGCAAGCCUGAUGCAGCCAUGCCGCGUGUAUGAAGAAGGCCUUAGGGUUGUAAAGUACUUUCAGCGGGGAGGCGUUACCCACAGAAGAAGCACCGGCUAACUCCGUGCCAGCAGCCGCGGUAAUUC